GAGCCUGUGGCUCAAUGGUAGAGCGUUCGACUCAAAUACCAAAGGUCGCGGGUUCGAAUCCCAGGUGUU
rfam:Schistocephalus solidus strain NST_G2 genome assembly, scaffold: SSLN_scaffold0001959